rfam:Trametes versicolor FP-101664 SS1 unplaced genomic scaffold TRAVEscaffold_2, whole genome shotgun sequence.
GCUGAUAUGGCCGAGUCGUUAAGGCGAGUGAUUUGAACAGCAGGAUUCGAACCUGCUCAAAUAUCACUUGGGAUUUUCCCGCGUAGGUUCAACUCCUGCUGUCAGCG